rnacentral:rRNA from 1 species
AACGAACGCUGGCGGCAGGCUUAACACAUGCAAGUCGAACGCACCGCAAGGUGAGUGGCAGACGGGUGAGUAACACGUGGGGAUCUGCCCAAUGGUACGGAAUAGCUCCGGGAAACUGGAAUUAAUACCGUAUGUGCCCGCAAGGGGAAAGAUUUAUCGCCAUUGGAUGAACCCGCGUCGGAUUAGCUAGUUGGUGAGGUAAAGGCUCACCAAGGCGACGAUCCGUAGCUGGUCUGAGAGGAUGAUCAGCCACACUGGGACUGAGACACGGCCCAGACUCCUACGGGAGGCAGCAGUGGGGAGUAUUGGACAAUGGGCGCAAGCCUGAUCCAGCCAUGCCGCGUGAGUGAUGAAGGCCUUAGGGUUGUAAAGCUCUUUCGCCGACGAAGAUAAUGACGGUAGUCGGAGAAGAAGCCCCGGCUAACUUCGUGCCAGCCGCCGCCGUAAAAC